UGGGGAAUAUUGGACAAUGGGCGCAAGCCUGAUCCAGCCAUGCCGCGUGAGUGAUGAAGGCCCUAGGGUUGUAAAGCUCUUUCAACGGUGAAGAUAAUGACGGUAACCGUAGAAGGAGCCCCGGCUAACUUCGUGCCAGCAGCCGCGGUAAUACGAAGGGGGCUAGCGUUGUUCGGAAUUACUGGGCGUAAAGCGCACGUAGGCGGAUCGGUCAGUUAGGGGUGAAAUCCCAGGGCUCAACCCUGGAACUGCCUUUAAUACUGCCGAUCUGGAGUCCGGAAGAGGUGAGUGGAAUUCCGAGUGUAGAGGUGAAAUUCGUAGAUAUUCGGAGGAACACCAGUGGCGAAGGCGGCUCACUGGUCCGGUACUGACGCUGAGGCACGAAAGCGUGGGGAGCAAACA
rnacentral:rRNA from 1 species